GACGAACGCUGGCGGCGUGCUUAACACAUGCAAGUCGAGCGGUAAGGCCUUUCGGGGUACACGAGCGUCGAACGGGUGAGUAACACGUGGGUGAUCGGCCCUGCACUUCGGGAUAAGCCUGGGAAACUGGGUCUAAUACCGGAUAUGACCUCCUAUCGCAUGGUGGGUGGUGGAAAGAUUUAUCGGUGCAGGAUGGGCCCGCGGCCUAUCAGCUUGUUGGUGGGGUAAUGGCCUACCAAGGCGACGACGGGUAGCCGACCUGAGAGGGUGACCGGCCACACUGGGACUGAGACACGGCCCAGACUCCUACGGGAGGCAGCAGUGGGGAAUAUUGCACAAUGGGCGAAAGCCUGAUGCAGCGACGCCGCGUGAGGGAUGACGGCCUUCGGGUUGUAAACCUCUUUCAGCAGGGACGAAGCGAAAGUGACGGUACCUGCAGAAGAAGCACCGGCUAACUACGUG
rnacentral:rRNA from 1 species